UUCAAGGCUGCGUAUGCAGACAACAUACCUGCAAUGGUAGGCAAGCAACAAUGGGACAUUGUUGACCCUGGCUUCAAACUACAAGCUCCAGUGUUGAGGAGGCCAAAAGGACGACCGCGGAAGACUAGAAUCAGAUCUAGUGCUGAAGGUGCUGGCCUUGGCCCUAGGAAAAGGAAGUGCAAGCAUUGCGGAGGCUUCGGCCACAUAGCGAGAAUUUGCAAAAAUCCAGUUGACCCAGCAUUUGGAGAAGAUGAGGCUGACCUCCAUGCUGGAGAUGCCCCUUUUGUGGCCGGAGAAGGCGACCCUGAGCCAUCCGUGGUUGCAAGUUCUGUGGGCUCAAGGAAAAGUGUGAAGAAGAAAACAGAGAAGAAAACCAAUAAAAGGAAGAACAAGGAAGAUGAACAUUCAACCAGAACUGAAGGUUCCACAAGUGGAUCUGUUGCAUCUCCCAUGCAUACCCGAGUUGCACACAAAUCGCCAGACAGCCCUGCCCAAAACACAAGAAGCAAAAAGAGGCUGCACAUGUGA
rnacentral:rRNA from 1 species